UUGGAGGUUGUGCCCUUGAGGCGUGGCUUCCGGAGCUAACGCGUUAAGUCGACCGCCUGGGGAGUACGGCCGCAAGGUUAAAACUCAAAUGAAUUGACGGGGGCCCGCACAAGCGGUGGAGCAUGUGGUUUAAUUCGAUGCAACGCGAAGAACCUUACCUACUCUUGACAUCCAGAGAACUUAGCAGAGAUGCUUUGGUGCCUUCGGGAACUCUGAGACAGGUGCUGCAUGGCUGUCGUCAGCUCGUGUUGUGAAAUGUUGGGUUAAGUCCCGCAACGAGCGCAACCCUUAUCCUUUGUUGCCAGCGAUUCGGUCGGGAACUCAAAGGAGACUGCCAGUGAUAAACUGGAGGAAGGUGGGGAUGACGUCAAGUCAUCAUGGCCCUUACGAGUAGGGCUACACACGUGCUACAAUGGCAUAUACAAAGAGAAGCGACCUCGCGAGAGCAAGCGGACCUCAUAAAGUAUGUCGUAGUCCGGAUUGGAGUCUGCAACUCGACUCCAUGAAGUCGGAAUCGCUAGUAAUCGUGGAUCAGAAUGCCACGGUGAAUACGUUCCCGGGCCUUGUACACACCGCCCGUCACACCAUGGGAGUGGGUUGCAAAAGAAGUAGGUAGCUUAACCUUCGGGAGGGCGCUUACCACUUUGUGAUUCAUGACUGGGGUGAAGUCGUAACAAGGUAACCGUAGGGGAACCUGC
rnacentral:rRNA from 1 species